AUUGAACGCUGGCGGCAUGCCUUACACAUGCAAGUCGAACGGUAACAGGUCUUCGGAUGCUGACGAGUGGCGAACGGGUGAGUAAUACAUCGGAACGUGCCCGAUCGUGGGGGAUAACGAAGCGAAAGCUUUGCUAAUACCGCAUAAGACCUACGGAUGAAAGCAGGGGACCGCAAGGCCUUGCGCGAACGGAGCGGCCGAUGGCAGAUUAGGUAAUUGGUGGGAUAAAAGCUUACCAAGCCGACGAGCUGUAGCUGGUCUGAGAGGAAGACCAGCCACACUGGGACUGAGACAAGGCCCAGACUCCUACGGGAGGCAGCAGUGGGGAAUUUUGGACAAUGGGCGAAAGCCUGAUCCAGCCAUGCCGCGUGCAGGAUGAAGGCCUUCGGGUUGUAAACUGCUUUUGUACGGAACGAAAAGACUCUUUCUAAUAAAGAGGGUCCAUGACGGUACCGUAAGAAUAAGCACCGGCUAACUACGUGCCAGCCGCCGCUGUAACAC
rnacentral:rRNA from 1 species